CAGUCGCCGCGGUAAUACGAAGGGGGCUAGCGUUGUUCGGAUUUACUGGGCGUAAAGCGCACGUAGGCGGAUAUUUAAGUCAGGGGUGAAAUCCUGGAGCUCAACUCCAGAACUGCCUUUGAUACUGGGUAUCUAGAGUCCGGAAGAGGUGAGUGGAACUCCUAGUGUAGAGGUGGAAUUCGUAGAUAUUAGGAAGAACACCAGUGGCGAAGGCGGCUCACUGGUCCGGUACUGACGCUGAGGUGCGAAAGCGUGGGGAGCAAACAGGAUUAGAUACCCCCGUAGUCCCUGUCUCUUAUAC
rnacentral:rRNA from 1 species